ensembl:lncRNA
AAAAAGGAAAAGGAGUGCCUGCCUCGGUUUCUUAUUAACUGCCAAUCCAGAGGCCACGUUGAUGGGAAGGAAGAAGGCUUGAUCUCAGUUACCGAACUGCAGGACUGGCUCGGACCGACGAUACUUCUGCCCUCUUCCCGUCUCUGAUAGUGGCUUAGUACAGCUUCAGUGUGUGGAGCAGUCCAGCCCUAAUGGAUAGAACCUCAUCGGACUCUGAACAGCUGCAGCAGUGCUAUUCCUGUGAGUCUCAGACACCAAACUCUCAGCUUUCCUGGGCUGAACACGGACUUCUCCCUCCCCUGGAUCAGACACUGACCUACAGUUUCCCAUUCACCAUCAUCUUGGCAAGACUGAUUACCCUGCAUGCACUUUUGUCCCUUGUAGCAGCAAUGGCAGUGAAACCAACCCCAGUGAUUGAAGUAGGGGGAAAAUAGAAGGUCGAUUUUCCAGCUCAACAGAAGCUGGACUCUGAAGCUCAGCAGGCUUUUGGAGCCAGGAACCACUCUUGCUCUAAGGCAAUAUUCUAAGUGAGAGAGUGACUCUAGAUUAUUAUUUUAGUUUGGAUAAGGAAUGAACUUUGGAAAUUAGUCCCACUGAGCCCUCUAAGGCUCCCAUUUAAACUCAGCUUCACAUAGCCUGUGAGCUUGGGCAGCUGCAAGGAUAUGGUCCUAUGUGAUUCUGAGACAGGUGAAGGCUGAAUGAUCCAGCUAUGCAUAGAGGCAAGAUUUUUGCCUCCUUACGAGUGCUGUAGCUCCUGUAAGUUCAGAGUUUUCACAGAAAAGCUCACACUGAGUUCCAGCAAACAUUUCUGAUGGAAUCUGUAUUCCUCCAAAGCUGAUAUGACUCUUAAAGCAAACAAGCUAGCAAACAAACAAACAAAAAAGAAAAAAGUAAAGGCAUAGUAUUCUUUUGUAUGUCUUUCUACUUCAGGUACUGCCAGCAGCACAAUAACCUUUUUAAAACAAAGUGUUGUUUAUUUAGAACAAAAAGACACAGAGAAAUCAUGUGAUAAAACCCUAAAUCUAUCUAUUUGAUUUCUACCUCUUUCUGAGGCUCACUGUUCUUCAGUUCAGGGAAAGACUCUGUUCCUUCUUGUCAGCCCCUGACCUAUCCUAUUCUACCAUCCCUCUCUUUCAAUCAAUCUUUUCUGAGUAUUUUUAAUGUUCUCCUUCUUUGUAGGAUUGUCACUAGAGAUUAGGAAUGGGAUAGGAUGCUCAAAGACAAGAACUUUGCCUAGUGUCUUUCGUAUUUGAUCCUGGUCAUUUGUACCUGAGAAAGUAUUGGAUUACCUUCUUUAUUGUUCUUUUUAUAGCUGCCAUUGAAAUGAACAAUGCUAAGGCAUAUAGGA